GGUGACAAUUGCCUCUGAGCUCAGGCAUGCAGCUUCUGGGAUGCACUCUCCUUUCACGACAAAGCGUUCUGCAUAGGAAAAACCAUCUCUGCGUCUCCAAGCUGUGGCCUAGCCCUUCAUUCAUCAAAUGGGAUACAACUUUCAUUUCUUAUUAAAAUCUGGAAGUCACCCUCCAUUUGUAAGAUAUCCCAGGGGUUGAUGUCAUCUUGUAAAGGGGGACAGUGCCAUUUUCUAUCUUACACUUUAAAAAGACAAAACCACUAGCUACAAACAUCAUUCACCACAGCAUGGGAGAGGCAACCCCACAGCAAAGGUUAUGUCAUGUUUCAUAAAUGGGUAUGGAUUUGGGGGCUGGUUUUUUUAAUAAAAACAUAUUUUGGAACUUGACAUAAUUUGAGCUGUUUAUGUUGUGCCAGCUGCCUGAGGUGGCUGACAGCUUCACCCAGCUGAGGUUCUUGCCCGUCCUAUACACC
rnacentral:lncRNA from 1 species